rnacentral:rRNA from 1 species
UACAGAGGUCUCAAGCGUUGUUCGGAUUCAUUGGGCGUAAAGGGCGCGUAGGCGGUUCGUUAAGUCCUGUGUGAAAUCCCCCGGCUCAACUGGGGAACUGCACAGGAAACUAGCGGGCUUGAGUUCGGGAGAGGGAAGCGGAAUUCCGGGUGUAGCGGUGAAAUGCGUAGAUAUGGGGAGGAACACCGGUGGCGAAGGCGGCCAUCUGGACGGAUACUGGCGCUGAGACGCGAAAGCGUGGGUAGCAAACAGG